rnacentral:lncRNA from 1 species
UUUUAAAACAAGGUUUCGACGAUGCCGCAGGCGCGUGCGAGUGCGGUCGGGCUCAGAACGGACAACGACGAAAACCGGCAACUUACAACGGAUGCAGGUUCGAAAAGUGGCAGCAAUGGAGAUGCCGAUGCAAUGAUGAUGAUGCGCAUGAUGCGAUGAUGAUGCGACAACUAAAAAUAGACACACGACGAAAACAGAAUAAAGGGGAAAUCUUCUGGAACGUCGGCAUGGGGUGUCACAACUCUCCUACACUACAAGA